AGAAGUGCUCGUCGAGGAGCGAACGGCUUCUUUCGUGUGACUUCUUGCUUAACGUGUGCGCGAAUAAAAUCGUUCGAUACUGGCAUCCGAAUGACGAAACGGUCGAGAAUCGUAUGGAAAUUUAGUCGGUAGAUAAGGAAAGAUAUUAUAUAAAAGCUCGAAAUCGUGGUUCGAUUCGACGUUGGACAUUGGAAAAUGUUUUUUCCUCCCACCUUCGUCACUCGCAUGAUAAAUGUCUGCCUAUAUAUUGAAGAUAAUAAAGCGUGAAAAAACGGUGCGUGAAAUUUUGGUAGACGUGUCUGACAAUGAGAGCGUUGAUAAUCGAGCCAACUGGUUUCAAGCUGAUUUCGUUCGAAACCAAAUAUGAAAGUGUGUAUAUAUUGCUUUGUCCGUCAAAUACACGCUUUUCUUAAUUUUUUCUUUUUCUUUUCUUUUUUUUUUUUUUUUUUUUUUCUCUAUAAUUUUUGUUAAAUUUGACCAGAUGGCGUCAUCGAAUUGCGCCAACGUAAAAAUAUCGUUUACUUCUUUUUUUUUUUUUUAUUCACAAUAAUUUUCGCAAUGAGAUUCGUGCAAUUGUUUACGAAAUUAUUGCGAUAUUUAAUAUGGUAAUUAUAAUUAUAUUUAACGCAUUAACUAUAAAGAUCGAUGUGUAUUCGAAUUAGUAAGUAAAAGAUCGUAAGAUCUUGAUCUUGAAAGUUCGAGGAUCGUUCGGUUCGGCUAACAGCGCCGUAGAAUAAUUCUAAUCCUUAGGAUUACGAAAAUUACGAAGUAUUACACGAUACUAUAUAGAUAUAUCGAGUAGAAUAUUUAAUUUUCGCUGUCCUAUAUUAGGACUAAGCUAUUGAAUCUUUCGAUCGAGCCCCAAUCCCAUCGCAAUUACGAUUAUCACAAUGAAAUAGGGGAAAAAAGGGAAGAAGGAAAGGAAAAGAUCUCGUUAGAAUGGUCGACGUUAAAAUUUCGCUGGUCGUAUAUUGUCAUCACCGCACGAAAUUCAUUGUGUCUCGUAUACAGGAUACAUCCGAUUGCCGGAAGACAUCUAUUAAAUGCCGAAAAACUCCGUAAAUGAGCUAAUUGAUUGAUAUCGAACAGUGAACAGUGCACUGCGUUCCUUGUAACUCAACCCGUGAAUAAAGGAUAACUCAAAGAUAUUCGCAGGACGAAUAUGAUACAUUGCUCGCAUUCCUCCGAAGCUGUUUUCGUUAUCUGUUUUCUGUAUUUAUUUCAAAGAGCUGCGUUAUGCACUCACUUAAACUAGUAGAAUUUACUAUACGAGAUAUAGAGUGUUGAAAAAAAGAGGAGACAAUGAGAAGAAAAACUUUGGGAAGAAAGUAAUAAAUAAUUAUUACUUAUUCUAUAUAUCAAUUGUCUCGUGGACAUCGAAUAAGUUUUAUCCCAAAGGAAUAAGAUUUUUUUUUUUAGAGAUUUAAUUUUUAGAGAUUUAUGAUAUCGUAGUCGCAAUAUCCUUUGUUUUUUUUUUUUUAUUCCUUUUCCUUCAUUUGCUAAAUGAUAAGACCGGGGAUGUCCUAUCGCUUGCAUUUGCCUACUGCUUUCAUAAAAUCGCGCCCUUUUCCCUAAUUGAAGCACGAAAAUGUAAACAACGAUCGAUAUCGUUUCUUUCGUUGGCGUGCUCUUAAUUAUCGCUUUCAUAUCGAAUCGAGAUAAAUCCACCAUAUGGUGUGUGUGUGUAUGUGUGCCCUUCAACCUAUGGUGCUUCAACAGAUUGUGCCUCGCCAACCUUGAGUCUUUUUCGUUUUCAUCCGUUCUAAGCGUGAAACGAUCACGGAUUCUUGUUGGAUAAUCAUUCCCUCGAUUACCAAGUAUUCUGGGGCCGAAACCUGCAGACUUUUCAACUUUUCCUCUCGUAGAGGAUCAUCGGUAAUUAAUUCUAUCCUUCUCAAUUUUUGCCCGUCUUCAAAUUUUUUAACGAAGAUCGAAUUCCUCGUAUGUAAGAUUGUUGGAUCUUUUCAAAGAAAAGAUUGAAUACGAUUUUAAUAUCUCGAUAAGGGAUCAUUGUGGUCGGAGAUUGAACUAUGAUGAUCGCAAUUUGACGAAUUUCUCUCGGGUGUUUUCCCAUUCAUAUAUUCACCGAUGGGAUAAUAUGGGAGAAAAAAGUUCCUGAGAUAAUUUCGUGAAAUGUCCGAGCAGCAAAGGGCAAGAAAUUUAAGAAAUUUAUUCGUCUCGAUGUUUAUCGGAGGGGGGAAAAAAAUUGCUAAUGGAACGAGAAUACCGUACAAGAUUUAUUAACCAAAUAAUCGACAAAUGAUUUUUUUUCUAGGCGUGCACGUCUCGAAAAAAAACUGGAAAAACUGUAUAACACUCGCUUCGUAACCGAGCACCAAAUACCGACGUUCAAACGAAAGUAAUACCAAAAAGAGGUAAAAAGAAACAAAAAAAAAAAACAAAAAAAAACAAAAAAAAAUGGAAUGAUGUUCUUAAUUUAUUAUGUAUAAGUGAUCCUCGGUGAUCGAUCGACAAAUUUAAAUAAAAAGAACAAAAAAGAAAAAAAAGAUAUAGUGAGAAGCGUAAAAGAAACAUAACUGAGAAAGAACACGCUUUAAAAAGUAGCUAGAAACUGAAGAUAAGCGCUCACGUCGUUUUCUGUCAUUAUUCGUUUUUCAAAUAGGCGCAUUUACGUAAGCAUUUUACUUACUCGAACGUUAUUCACAAAUCGAGCCAACUGAGUCUGCAAUCCUAAGAGAAUAAAAAUAAAAAAAA